rnacentral:rRNA from 1 species
GAUGAACGCUGGCGGCGUGCCUAAUACAUGCAAGUCGAGCGAACGGACGAGAAGCUUGCUUCUCUGAUGUUAGCGGCGGACGGGUGAGUAACACGUGGAUAACCUACCUAUAAGACUGGGAUAACUUCGGGAAACCGGAGCUAAUACCGGAUAAUAUUUUGAACCGCAUGGUUCAAAAGUGAAAGACGGUCUUGCUGUCACUUAUAGAUGGAUCCGCGCUGCAUUAGCUAGUUGGUAAGGUAACGGCUUACCAAGGCAACGAUGCAUAGCCGACCUGAGAGGGGGAUGGGCAACAGGGAAAGGAGAAAAGGGCACAACAACGAAGGGGGGGAAGAGGAGGGGAAACUUCGGAAAGGGGGGAAAGCGGGAGGGAGAAACGCAGCGGGAGUGAAGAAGGGCUGCGGGUCGAAAAACUCUGUUAUUAGGGAAAAAAAUAGGGGAAAGAAACGGUGAAAAUGUGGAGGGAACAAAAAAAAAAAGGCAGGGGAAACUACGG